rnacentral:lncRNA from 1 species
GGCUGGGUCUAAAGGUUGGCGCCCGGCCUGGAGUCCAUGUGUUUUCCCUCCCAGCACACAGGGUGUGCAGUCAGUCAGCUGCAGGGCUGCUGUGGGUGCUUCAUGCACUCUGUGUGUAUCCGUCACAGAAUCGGCUCGGUGACAGAAGGCUCAAAGCGGCCUCGCUGGAGAAGGGUUCCUGGGUGCCUGUACCUGCGGGUGGAAGCAAGCAGUGCACGUGUGGCUCUGCUGCUCUGACACCCAGGCUCUUUCUGAGUUUGCUGUGCUUUGAACUCACUUUGUGGCUCAGGCUGGCUUUGAACUUGCAUCGAUCCUCCUGCCUUAGCCUGCAGAGUACUGGGAUUACAGGCAAGUGCCACCACGCCUGGCUAGGACUCCUCCAGCAGCAGGGCAGGGAACAGCAGGUUUGCAGCUCCAUGUGACCUUAUUGGAAACAGAAAGCCACCUGGAUCCCUUCUACCCUGCUUGCUUUGGCCAGAGUGGAAACCUGUGCUCUCGUCCGGCCCUGUGCUCCCUACACCUUCCUGCUCCUCCCGGCCUCUCUCGAAGGAAGAAGGCAGGGAAGAUGAACACUUAGCUCUGAAGUCGUGGCAGCAGAGGGAGGUGACUGGCAGCAGGUGUGCAGGGAGCGGCCACGUGUCUGUCCCGCCUCUCAAGCAGCCGGAUAAGCCCGCAAGCAUGCCGGCCGCCUUAGGAGGCCUGGGACAGCGAUUGCUGCCAGUGCCGGGCAGCGCUUUCGAAUCACUUGUCAAGGAAACCAAAUCCAGAUAAUUCUCCUCCACCUGCUCGGUGUCAGGGUUGGCAUUUCACACCGUAGAGAUGCUUAAUGUGUCAUCUGCAAAAUUUGAAACAUCAGAUUACUCAGCCUCGUCUGGUCCAUUUAUGAAACACGCACUGAAGCUGGUCUUGGCGUCACAUUCUGCCCUCACCUGUCCGAGCAGCAGCCAUCAUCCCUCGGGUGUGCUCUGUCUCUGAGUCCUGUGUUCCCGGAAGACCACGUCCUGCGAUCCCUAUGGCAUGCUAACCCGAGAUUGAUUCCUCGGCUGAAGCACUCCUAGUUCAGAUGUGAGCUCAAUCUGUAUAGUUUGGCCUUGCUCACCUCUCUCAGCCUGGAAUUCUUAGCUGUAACUAAGGGUAAAAUAUCCUGGCUCCAUCUACUUGUUCCACACACUACGCUGUGCUUUAAAGCAGUCAGCAUGGCACCUGUCUUCCCGAAAG